AAUCUCCUUUUGAAAAUUCCACGUAAUUAUUUAAAAAGAAACUAGAUUAUCUGAACCACAAAACCGUAAAGGUUUAUGGGAACAACUUUCCUUUUCUGAUACUUUAUUUUAAAAUGGAAACCAGUUUCUGCAUAAGAUCAUCAGAAACUUUUGUGUAAAGCUAUAAAGGAAUACAUAUAGUUACUUUAUUGCCUUUUUUUCUUUCGACGGGUCUUGUUCAAAGUAAUUCUGUGUUUCCAUCUCCUGAAGAAAUGCAAAUCUCUGAGGGGCAACACGCAACAUUGCAGCGUAAUUUCACCGCCGCUUUCACCAGACCAAAUCCGCUCUGGUUCAAUCAGUGUCCGAACUUACCGCCCCAGCAUUUAUUGGCAGAGUAUCAAUCUCCUGCUGAGAAGAACACGGUCACUGCUGGAACAUUUUCAUCAGUUUUGUUCCAGGCGUGUAUCACUGUGCUGUGAGGUACGCAGUAGGGCAGAGCUGCCUCUCCGGCGAUACGAGAAGUGAUCGAGGUGCUCACACACACCGAGAGUGGCAGAGACUGUUUUUCUACCUGACUCUUAUUUUAUGACCCGUCUCUGCCAAGCUCAGUUCCUUCUGCUCUUCUCAUGUCUGGGAGGAUCUUUCCGUUUCUACCCCUGCGGUAUAGCCCCCAUGCUGUGCAAACCAAGCCCGACGCGUUAUUAUCUCAAUUAUAUUUAUGUGAGUUAAUAAAUACACGAAUUUACAAACUUUCAAUGAAAAUAUUUGUUAAUAAAACAAAUCACUCCAUAAAACUUGAAAAAUGGUAACGGGAUCUCCUGCAGCUGGAAAAUAAACUGGGCGAGGUUCUGAUCUCUGUUCCAUCACAGCAACUCUGGUCUAACUAAUCGGGGCAGCGGGUUCUUUAAUGCGAAACGUCUCAACUCCUCUAAAAUCAACAUCCAUCCAGUCAGGUAUCUCUGUCCGUCAGUCUUUCUGUUUGCCCAUCUUCUUACACAAGGUAAUCUCUCUGGUUUCCUGGUGAGCAAAGUCCAUUUCAUGUCCAAACAUUUUAUCUACUGCAUAGAGACAGUCACAGCUACAAUCAAACCUUUUUGGAAGGUGCAGCGGCCGGAAGAGCCGCCAAACAGAGACUGUUUCCCAUAGAAAUCAGUAGCAAACACCACUCCCCUCCCCUAGUUUCCUCUGGGUUUGGGCACUGGGGUCAGAUCCGCCCCCCCUCGACUUUUUAGGGGAGCACGUUGAUCGGUUUAGAACAUUCAAAUAACAAUCAAUCCCUUUGCUUCGCUGUUGUGUUUUCACUGCCUCUUUGUGACUCUAAGUCCGCAAAACAAAGGCCAUGCGUUUUGUUCUAAACCUUUUUAUACUCACUCUGUGUCCAGGUGCUGCGCUGGGUGAUUCGAUCCAGUCCAAGGAACCCCAAGUGUCUGGAGUAGAAGGAGGCUCGGUGACAUUCAGCUGUUCCUACGAUACCACCGAUUUUUCGGGCAUCUAUCUCUACUGGUACCGACAGUCUCCUAAGCGAGCCCCGCAGUACAUUCUGCGGAGAGGAACCAAGGUGUACGACACUUAUAGCGAAAAUGCGGAUUUCGCCCAGGAGAGGUUUUCUUCCCAGGCUGCUGACAGCUCCACAGUUCUGAACAUCACAGGCCUGGAGCUGUCAGACGCAGGGGUGUAUCUCUGCGCCCUGCAGCGGGCACAGUGACAGAGCCACGGAGCAGAGCUGUACAAAAUCCCUCCCUUCCUUCCCAUUCACCGGCCCUGCACUGGGGAG